GCCGGGGUGGCGCAAUCUGGUACCGCGCAAGCCUGGAAAGCUUGUUUCCUUCGGGAUACCUUAUGGCUGGAAAAGGCCAGAGGCCCGUAAUCUGGGUUCAAAUCCCAGCCCCGGCG
rnacentral:tRNA from 1 species